GGUGGUAUAGCUCAUUGGUAGAACGCCUGCUUAGCAUGCACGAGGCCCUGGGUUCAAUCCCCAGUACCUCCA
rnacentral:tRNA from 1 species